rnacentral:rRNA from 1 species
CCUACGGGUGGCAGCAGUGGGGAAUAUUGGACAAUGGGGGCAACCCUGAUCCAGCCAUGCCGCGUGUGUGAAGAAGGCCCUCGGGUUGUAAAGCACUUUCAGUGAGGAAGAACGCCUGGUGGUUAAUACCCAUCAGGAAAGACAUCACUCACAGAAGAAGCACCGGCUAACUCCGUGCCAGCAGCCGCGGUAAUACGGAGGGUGCGAGCGUUAAUCGGAAUUACUGGGCGUAAAGCGCGCGUAGGUGGCUUGAUAAGCCGGUUGUGAAAGCCCCGGGCUCAACCUGGGAACGGCAUCCGGAACUGUCAAGCUAGAGUGCAGGAGAGGAAGGUAGAAUUCCCGGUGUAGCGGUGAAAUGCGUAGAGAUCGGGAGGAAUACCAGUGGCGAAGGCGGCCUUCUGGACUGACACUGACACUGAGGUGCGAAAGCGUGGGUAGCACACAGGAUUAGAUACCCUUGUAGUC